GUAGUCCACGCUGUAAACGAUGGGUACUAGAUUAGGCGGGUAUUGACCCCUGCCGAGUCGGAGCUAACGCGAUAAGUACCCCGCCUGGGGAGUACGGUCGCAAGACUAAAACUCAAAGGAAUUGACGGGGGCCCGCACAAGCGGUGGAUCAUGUGGUUUAAUUCGAAGCAACGCGAAGAACCUUACCUGGGUUUGACAUCCCCUGACACCCCUAGAAAUAGGGUUUUCGUAGCAAUACGACAGGGAGACAGGUGCUGCAUGGCUGUCGUCAGCUCGUGUGGUGACAUGUUGGGUUAAGUCCCGCAACGAGCGCAACCCUUGUCCUUAGUUGCCAGCAUUAAGUUGGGCUCUCUAAGGAGACUGCCGUGGUUAACACGGA
rnacentral:rRNA from 1 species